UUGUGACCCUACUGCACCUAUCUGGAUAAUCCAGCAUAUCUGUGAUGGUCAAGAGCAUUAAUUUCAUCACUUGUGCAAAAGCCCUUUUGUAUUUAUGGUAAAAAGUCAAGCGUUCCUGGGAAUAGGCUGCCAAUGGUGGCAAGAUCCACUGUGCAAAGUCAGGAAAUGGAGACAACAUUCCAACAUGUAACCUGUGUGUGUAGAAAGGAGACACAAGGCAAGUUGUUGGUCUAACCAUCCUCAAAAGGGGAAAGGGUUGAGCAGGGAGGAGCAUCAUUUGAGAAGUAGAGUUCCUACAGAAAUCUUGCAGCUUGAACUAGCAAGUAAAGUCUUACUCCGGACCCUGAAGUGAACAUGUCUUGCUGGAAUAUCCGGACAAAUGCUCAAUAUUAAAUAAGAAUGGCAGUGGUAUCCCA